UGGCCUUGCUGGGGGCUGCACACCAGAGCUGUUUCUGCUGAGUCAUCUUGGUCCCUCCUACAAUGUAUUAACGUUUAUUCCAAAGUGAGCUUCAAGAGGAUCAAUAAAAUUUUGAGUUUAUACCUCUUGCAGUUGUUACAGGUUAUUCUUGCAGGAUGCUGCAUUAUACCUUGUCUUCAUGGAUUAGUGCAGAGACUAUAAAAACAGCUCUCACCAAAACCUUUAAUUCUCCCCCGUCUGAUUCAGAUAAGCUCCCACUUUAAGAAAACCAAGCAGAACAGCAGAGUCAAAACAUGCUAAAAAGUUUGAACAGGAAGAAUUAUAAAAAGAAAGAGGGGGAAAUUGUUGGAUACAGUGAGUUUCUCUUCAAAGGUUCCGCUUGUUCAACUCCCUCUUUCUUUGCUCUCUGUUUUCAAUGCCUAACUUCCUUGCCUCCUUGCCCCUAGUUACGGUAAACAACCUUCCAGCCGUUCCCAAUCUGUAACACACAUCUGUUCUCAAUCUG
rnacentral:lncRNA from 10 species